rnacentral:rRNA from 1 species
GACGAACGCUGGCGGCGUGCUUAACACAUGCAAGUCGAACGGAAAGGCCCUGCUUUUGUGGGGUGCUCGAGUGGCGAACGGGUGAGUAACACGUGAGUAACCUGCCCUUGACUUUGGGAUAACUUCAGGAAACUGGGGCUAAUACCGGAUAGGAGCUCCUGCUGCAUGGUGGGGGUUGGAAAGUUUCGGCGGUUGGGGAUGGACUCGCGGCUUAUCAGCUUGUUGGUGGGGUAGUGGCUUACCAAGGCUUUGACGGGUAGCCGGCCUGGGAGGGUGACCGGCCACUUGGGGACUGGGAUACGGCCCAAACUCCUAGGGGAGGCAGCAGGGGGGAAUAUUGCAAAAGGGGCGGAAGCCUGAUGCAGCAACCCCGCGUGGGGGAUGACGGCCUUCGGGUUGUAAACCGCUUUCGCCUGUGACGAAGCGGGAGGGGCGGAAAUGGGGAAAAAAGCACCGGCAAACUACGG